UACGUAGGGGGCAAGCGUUAUCCGGAUUCACUGGGUGUAAAGGGAGCGUAGACGGCGACGCAAGUCUGGAGUGAAAGCCCGGGGCCCAACCCCGGGACUGCUCUGGAAACUGCGUCGCUGGAGUACGGGAGGGGCAGGCGGAAUUCCUGGUGUAGCGGUGAAAUGCGUAGAUAUCAGGAGGAACACCGGCGGCGAAGGCGGCCUGCUGGACCGUGACUGACGUUGAGGCUCGAGAGCGUGGGGAGCAAACAGG
rnacentral:rRNA from 1 species